UCAGGUUCCUUCCUCACCUCUCUCGCGUAUAUAAAGUGGUCGUCAUGGCCAUGCUGUUUUUUCUUGCUGUGCUGGUGACCGUGUCAUCCGCGUCUGAAUAUUUGCCGACAGGCAGAACAUGUGUUGGAAUCUUAUGUGGGGUAAAUUCCACAUGUCAUGAAGUGCUGAACAGAACCUCUGGUGUGAUUACUGCAGAGUGCCUCAGUAAGUAU